GUGUUAUAUGAAAGGAGAAAAGUUAACACUCCCCUUGACAAGGAGGGAAGAGGCCUUCAGGUCUGACAGUAUGCAUGGAGUUAAGGCAUUACCAUCUACUUUGUGGUAUCUAACCAUCACUUCCC